rnacentral:rRNA from 1 species
GUAGGUGGCAAGAGUUGUCCGGGAAUUAUUGGGGCGUAAAGCGCGCGCAGGCGGUUCUUUAAGUCUGAUGUGAAAGCCCACGGGCUCAACCGUGGAGGGUCAUUGGAAACUGGAGAACUUGAGUACAGAAGAGGAAAGCGGAAUUCCACGUGUAGCGGUGAAAUGCGUAGAGAUGUGGAGGAACACCAGUGGCGAAGGCGGCUUUCUGGUCUGUAACUGACGCUGAGGCGCGAAAGCGUGGGGAGCAAACAGGAUUAGAUACCCUGGUAGUCCACGCCGUAAACGAUGAGUGCUAAGUGUUAGGGGGUUUCCGCCCCUUAGUGCUGCAGCUAACGCAUUAAGCACUCCGCCUGGGGAGUACGGCCGCAAAGGCUGA